AGAUGAACAAGAAUCUUCUCAGCCUGCUGAGGCUGUGGUCGCUCAGCAGUCUGGUAAUGAACCAUCUGAAGAAGAGGAACCUCCAAGGGAAGGUCAGGAUAUGGCACCUGAUCAGGAGAGAGGAAGUGGAGGACAGCCUGAAGCUCAAGGGGCUGGCCUGGAAGUUAAUCUCCUGGAACUGCUUCAGCCAAAGACUGGAGGUAAAAAAGGGGAUGGUCUUGAUGUCAGGGGGGAGUUUGUAACCAGUCUGGAACCCACUCUGGUACCAGAAGCAGGUAUGUGAUCCAUGAUGUUGCAAAAUUAUGUAGAUUUGUUUUCCACAAUAUUUUGUCUUCAUUAAUGUAGAGAUAACAUUCCUACUACAUUAAAAACACAUUUCACACAUACAGGUUCUUAAGCAAAGUGGUUAGACCUCAGAUAUCUGACUUUCAC
rnacentral:lncRNA from 1 species